ACGCUCGACACCUACGUGAGGCAGCAGUGGGGAAUAUUGCACAAUGGGGGAAACCCUGAUGCAGCGACGCCGCGUGAGUGAAGAAGUAUUUCGGUAUGUAAAGCUCUAUCAGCAGGGAAGAAAAUGACGGUACCUGAGUAAGAAGCCCCGGCUAACUACGUGCCAGCAGCCGGGUAAUCUGAGCGGGCUGGCAAGGC
rnacentral:rRNA from 1 species